rnacentral:rRNA from 1 species
AACGAACGCUGGCGGCAUGCCUAACACAUGCAAGUCGAACGAGACCUUCGGGUCUAGUGGCGCACGGGUGCGUAACGCGUGGGAAUCUGCCCUUGGGUUCGGAAUAACAGUUGGAAACGACUGCUAAUACCGGAUGAUGACGUAAGUCCAAAGAUUUAUCGCCCAAGGAUGAGCCCGCGUAGGUUUAGCUAGUUGGUGAGGUAAAGGCUCACCAAGGCGACGAUCCUUAGCUGGUCUGAGAGGAUGAUCAGCCACACUGGGACUGAGACACGGCCCAGACUCCUACGGGAGGCAGCAGUGGGGAAUAUUGGACAAUGGGCGAAAGCCUGAUCCAGCAAUGCCGCGUGAGUGAUGAAGGCCUUAGGGUUGUAAAGCUCUUUUACCCGGGAUGAUAAUGACAGUACCGGAAGAAUAAGCGCCGGCUAACUCCGUG